UGCCGGGGAUGGCUCCGGCGGGCUCCGGCACUCCCCGCACGGAGGAUGAGCCAAAGAUGGACAGAGCGGCUCCUUCCUUACGCUGUAACCUUCCUGCGGGGGUUAAAGAUGUGCUGUUCCCCACGAAAAGCUGUGUGCCUCGUUCCCAUCUUCCUCCCUGAGGGCUCUGUGCCUUUCCGCAGGUUGGGAUGCGUCCAACACCGCGGCCAGCACUUGCCAAAGGGGGAUCGGAGCAGCUUGAGCCACCUCUGUGCAGGCUGGAUGGAGAAGCACAGGCUCCAGGGAGGAAUAUGCCUGACACCAGCACCUGGGUUGAAAAUUAACUGAAGUCUCCUGAAAAAGGGCUGACCACCAUUCUGCUCCAGAUCUCUUUGCUUUAUUAGAAUACUCUUUAAAAGAUGACACUGCAGUUCAAGUCCAGAACCACUCUACAGAACAAUGAAUAGUGUUCACUGAAAUCACCAUUCCUGUGAACUUCACAAAAAAACACAGCAGGAAAAUUAAAGAUACAGUACUCCAGACUGACCAAGUUUCUGCUGGCAUGGAAAUGAAAGAGGGUUCUGCAGCUAGAGGCCACUCAGCCAUUAGGAUCAAACUCUUAAUAAUGGCCAUGGAAAUGUUUCUUGACUUCUGUUUAAAUCACUGAUUGCUCAAACCUUUACCUGGGUCACU